rnacentral:rRNA from 1 species
UACGAAGGGGCUAGCGUUGCUCGGAAUCACUGGGCGUAAAGGCGCGUAGGCGGCCGUUUAAGUCGGGGUGAAAGCCUGUGGCUCAACCACAGAAUUGCCUUCGAUACUGGACGGCUUGAGUAUGGUAGAGGUUGGUGGAACUGCGAGUGUAGAGGUGAAAUCCGUAGAUAUUCGCAAGAACACCGGUGGCGAAGGCGGCCAACUGGACCAUUACUGACGCUGAGGCGCGAAAGCGUGGGGAGCAAACAGG